rnacentral:rRNA from 1 species
UACGUAGGGGGCAAGCGUUGUCCGGAAUUAUUGGGCGUAAAGAGCGCGUAGGCGGUCCGAUAAGUCGGCUGUGAAAGUCAAGGGCUCAACCCUUGGAAGCCGGCCGAUACUGUCGGACUAGAGUCCGGAAGAGGCGAGUGGAAUUCCCGGUGUAGCGGUGAAAUGCGCAGAUAUCGUAAGGAAGACCAGUGGCGAAGGCGGGUCUCUGGACAGUUCCUGACGCUGAGGCACGAAGGUCAGGGGAGCAAACGGG